rnacentral:misc_RNA from 1 species
CGCUCGCAUUGGCGCCAACCAACGCGCACACACGAACUGCCCGCUGCCAUCGUCACGCCACCCGAACUCCUCCUUUGUCCCGACACACACACACACACGCACACACACACACACACACAGAUCGGAAGCGCCAUAGUGAGUUUUCCCUCUUCUCAUACCCUCCUCGCUCUUGCAUCUCGCACUGCGGUGCGCUUCGUGGGGCUACCAUCUCCCCGGCGCGCGCCCACAAAAUGGGGCCUCCCAAGGGCAGCAUCGGCAGCUCCCACCGCGGCCUAAACGACGCCCCCGGGUUCAACUUCGCCGAGCCCUCCCUCGACACCACCGAUACCGUACAGCAGCUCUUGUCCAUUGCUGCGGGUGACUUCUCGAGUAUCCCCGCCGCCGAGGGCCUGAACACGGCGCCGAACAGCGCCGGUGGCCCCGCAAAGAGCGGGGCAGCAGAUGUCUCGGAGCACGCCUUCGGCGCCUCCAUGGCGCCCUUCUCGUCCUCUGCCAAUAUCGCUCGCACCGCUAGUGGCGGUGGGGAGACGCGGUCGACGACGCCCACGACGGCAGCAGCGCCCGUCGGCCCUUGCUCGGUCUCCCCAUCUGCCUCUACGCUCUCACGAGCGGCGUCUACUUGGAACGAGGUCAGCGUUCCGAACGCGAUGCUAGAUCGCUCCUGCCGUGGAGGCGCCACUAGCACGCUCACCAAUGCGGAGGCCGGCGCCUUCUACCUGACCGCCCUCGUCGCCCAGGCGCUGCGCCUCGAGGAUUACUGGGUGCACCUUGGUCAUCAGAUCGAAGUGGACCAGCACGUUGAGUUCAUUCAGUACUGCGCCAGGGAGGGCUUCGGGGCGCUCAAGACGAUGCAUCUGCUCAACUGGUGGCGGCAGUACCGCUCGCUGGUUCGUGGCGACGCCGAUGUCUCCGCAGAGACGCCCAUCGCACCGCUGCUGCUGUCUGACGGAAACCCGCAGAGGAAUAUCCCACCGUCUCACUUCCACAGCGGCAAUGCGAGUUGUGGUAGCGCCGGUGGUGGGGAGCACGGGUCGGCCGGCGGUUCGGCCUUGUCUCACGGCAAGGAGGGCAGCGGCGGCAGGGCGUCCAAGAAGGGGCGCCGCCUGAGCGCGAUCACGGCUGCGGGAGCUACGCCUAGCUCAGAGCAGGACGACCUUGCAGGGACAGUGGCCAGCCUCGCCGCCGCCGUGCCCACGCCGCUGUUGUACGCGACGCACGCCGAGGCGCUCCAUGGGGAGCUGCAGCGAUUCGUCCAGUGGGAGCUGGAGCACGAGUGGGCGUGGCGGCAGGUGCCCCGCGAACCGGUCGUGAGCGCAGCUGUGGCCCUUACGCAACCGAGGUCAACAAGCUUGAGCGGCGGCCCUAUGCGCAGCAUCUCCGGCAUGACGGCUGCCGGCGUGGCAAAGCCGUCUCGCGCGGAGAAGGCGAAGCUGCAGCAGCUACAGCAGCAGGAGAUGGAGGCUGAGGAGCAGCGGUUGGCACGCGUGGCGGCCAUGCCGCCGGAGAACAUCUUCUUGACGAAGGACGAGCUUGACGGCUUCUUGCAGUUUGUCGUCGAGGAGGAUCUCCUCUCGCACACUGCCCUGCACAUGUGUGUGACCUCGCACGCUCAGCAGCCGAUGAGCACCCUCUCACCGUCGGCGCGCGCGCCCGUGUGUUUCUCAGUGCAGGUGGAGACGCCAAUGCCCGUGCUGCCGCUGCGGGAUGCCACUCGUCUCUCUGCUCUUCAACGAAGUAGUUGCAGCGGCAACAUUUCGACCUUGUCCGCGACACGCGAUGAAGUAGCGGGUGGCGAUGCGACCGUUGGUGGUGCCGCGACGCCGCAGCAGUCUCCUCGCCCGACAUCCGCCUCGGGGCACGGCAAACCCGUGAGCGGGCGGCCUCGCACACACUCUAAGCGCGCCAUCAGGGGCGCCUCCAAGGACGCCGCCGCCGCUAAUGCCGCCGCUAAUGCCGCCGAGGCCGCGGCUGCUGCCACCUCUAAUCUCCCCGCAGCGCCUGAGUUGACGGUACCGCCGACAGCCAUGGAGACCUUACGCGCGGAGCAGGCCAAAGAGGCCGCGGCGUACCGGGCUGCCUACGAGGAGGAGCUUGCGCAGACGGCGGCACAUCAGCGAGCCGAGCAGCACGCCGCCGAUAUUCACCUCUUCUUCGAGAAGCCGAGAACAAACGAGGCCGUGCAGGCCGUGUACGCAAGCAUCGAGGAUGCGUUGGCUGCGCGGCAGCACCGCAUUCUCCAGCGUGUCGUGGCUCUGGAGCGCGCGCUUGGGCUGUCAACGCCAUCGGCAGAAAGUGGGCGUCUCGAUUGCGCUGGUGCUACCCCCGACGGCAGCGGCGCUGCUGCGGCAACAUUAAAGCCGACGACCUCACGCGGGGCGAGCAGCAGCAGCGGCAGCACCCCCGGGAAAAGGAAGACGAAGUAGCGGCGCCUACGCCCGUGCGCAUCUUCCUCAGCUGCCUGCGCCCGCGCCUCAUUGCAGUGAAAUACAGGGUGGCUUCUUCAAGUGCAAGGGACUUGCGCCAAGACUGGCAAAGUGGUGCCAGCGCGUCUCACACACCGGGGCGCCACUCUCCUUCGCAUGGAAUGCCCACGGUGCCAUCGCUGUCGGGAGGGGGGAGGUCUCCCCACCAACUCACCCAUGUACAUAUGCACCUUCACUGUACGUUUUCAUUGGGCCGAAAGACGAUGCCGAGGAGGCGCGAUAGAGAGAGGCGGGAGGAGGGGGGGGGACGGUGGUGAGGAAAGCGUCGAGUGUGAUGGCUAUGAGGCGGAGGCGCCGCCUGACGAUGUCUCCUCGCUCGCAUGUUGUGUUGGCGCCCCGUCUCCUGCCUUGCCCUUCUCCUUUCGUAUCUAUGGUGUAUCGUUCUGCGCAGAGGUACGGGGUGCUCAUCUUACAGUGAGCACUGCUGGUG